rnacentral:rRNA from 2 species
CCCUGCUACGCUAUCAUGCAGUCGAGCGACUGAUUAGAAGCUUGCUUCUAUGACGUUAGCGGCGGACGGGUGAGUAACACGUGGGCAACCUGCCUGUAAGACUGGGAUAACUUCGGGAAACCGAAGCUAAUACCGGAUAGGAUCUUCUCCUUCAUGGGAGAUGAUUGAAAGAUGGUUUCGGCUAUCACUUACAGAUGGGCCCGCGGUGCAUUAGCUAGUUGGUGAGGUAACGGCUCACCAAGGCAACGAUGCAUAGCCGACCUGAGAGGGUGAUCGGCCACACUGGGACUGAGACACGGCCCAGACUCCUACGGGAGGCAGCAGUAGGGAAUCUUCCGCAAUGGACGAAAGUCUGACGGAGCAACGCCGCGUGAGUGAUGAAGGCUUUCGGGUCGUAAAACUCUGUUGUUAGGGAAGAACAAGUACGAGAGUAACUGCUCGUACCUUGACGGUACCUAACCAGAAAGCCACGGCUAACUACGUGCCAGCAGCCGCGGUAAUACGUAGGUGGCAAGCGUUAUCCGGAAUUAUUGGGCGUAAAGCGCGCGCAGGCGGUUUCUUAAGUCUGAUGUGAAAGCCCACGGCUCAACCGUGGAGGGUCAUUGGAAACUGGGGAACUUGAGUGCAGAAGAGAAAAGCGGAAUUCCACGUGUAGCGGUGAAAUGCGUAGAGAUGUGGAGGAACACCAGUGGCGAAGGCGGCUUUUUGGUCUGUAACUGACGCUGAGGCGCGAAAGCGUGGGGAGCAAACAGGAUUAGAU